GCAGCCGCCGCGGGAAUACGGAGGGUGCAAGCGUUAUCCGGAUUUAUUGGGUUUAAAGGGUCCGUAGGCGGAUCUGUAAGUCAGUGGUGAAAUCUCACAGCUUAACUGUGAAACUGCCAUUGAUACUGCAGGUCUUGAGUAAAUUUGAAGUGGCUGGAAUAAGUAGUGUAGCGGUGAAAUGCAUAGAUAUUACUUAGAACACCAAUUGCGAAGGCAGGUCACUAAGAUUUAACUGACGCUGAUGGACGAAAGCGUGGGGAGCGAACAGGAUUAGAUACCCCGGUAGUCCCUGUCUCUUAUAC
rnacentral:rRNA from 1 species